rnacentral:lncRNA from 1 species
UCAGAGCUAUGACUUAAGAAUAUAAGUAUUUUUAAUUGACAACUACUUUUGGAAAACAAUCUCAGAAAGAUAAAAGGAAGAUGUUUCCCUCCCCACUCUGGCAGCAGCAGGAGACAUUCGUUCAGAAAAUACAGUUUGAACUAAGAAUACACACAAGAACAUUAUGCUGUCUUUUAUUGAAACUUGUGUGUGUGUAUAUAUAUAUAUUUCUCUUUCUAUAGUUAUUAAUAUGUUCAUGGAAGUAUUACUUAUACAAAGGAGACUUGUAAGAAACCCAGAUUGCUAUGCUGUUACUGCUGCUAGGUUCUAGGAAAAUACCCUUUAACCUUUAAGAUUUUUACUUGAUAAAUUUGUUGCACCAUUACUAAUAUUUCAACUGACAGGUCUUUAUGUAUUCCUGAAAGGUUUAAUUUCUUAUAAGAUUUUUUUUAGCCAACACAGAUGGAUCAUUAGCAAUUCAAAAUGUCAAAUUCUAAAUGACAACAGGCAAUAAUAAUGUCUAAUAAUAUCUAUGCUCUGCAGGUCCCUGAUUCUGGUCUUGAAUAGCGGAGGAGGAAAAGAAGAUGAUGGGGGAAAAGAAAAGAAGCCAUUUAUGCAUCCCUCCCUAAUUCAGUAUCCGAGCAUGAGGGAGUGUCAAGCUAGUGGGGAAGAAGAGAGGGUUUAGUUUUGAAUGAAGUUGGGAGUUUUUAUUAUUGCACUGAACUAAAUAGGCAUUUUACUAAAGUCAAGACUGUUCUUGUUAUUUAAAGGAACGGGAUCAUCAAUGGAACUCUUUGAGAUUUCAUCCAGAGGCUGGGAAAGAACAUUCAUGGUAGCUUUUAUUAUUAUUUUCAUUAUUGUAAGUUGAGGAAGAGAAAACCCAGGAAAAUAUACAAAGAGUGAUUGGAAUUAAUAAGAGUAAAACAAGGUGGCUGUAUAAAAGGUCAAUAUUCAAAAUCAAUUUUGUUAUUACUUACUAGCAACAUAAUUUUUUUUUUUUUUUUUUGAGACAGAGUUUCACUCUUGUUGCCCAGGCUGGAGUGCAACGGCGUGAUCUUGGCUCACUGCAACCUCCACCUCCCGGGUUCAAGCGAUUCUCCUGCCUCAGCCUCCCGAGUAGCUGGGAUUACAGGCAUGCACCGCCACACCUGGCUAAUUUUGUAUUUUUAGUACAGAUGGAGUUUCACCAUGUUGGUCAGGCUGGUCUCGAACUCCUGACCUCAGGUGAUCUGCCCGCCUCAGCAUCCCAAAAUGCUGGGAUUAUAGGCAUGAGCCACCGCACCUGGCCAGCAACAUAAUCUUUCUUUAAAAAUAUACCUGUUCACGACUGAGGCUCAGGGAAAAGAAAAGGAAAAAAAAUACCAUCUACAGUAGCAACAAAAUAUAAGAUUUUCAGAAUCAAUCUAACAAAAAAUGUACAAUAUGUACAGGAGAAAAUCCUGAAAUGUUACUGAAAAAAAUUAGGAAAUAUCAAUAAAUGGAGUGCUAUAUCAUAUUCCUGGAAGGAUUCAAUAGCAUAACAAUGUUAACUCCCCCAAAAUUGAUCUAGAAAUUCAAUUCUAUUCCAAUCAAAAUGCCAGCAGAGUAUUUGUGGGUGUGAUUUGAUGCUCUGAUUAUAUAAUUCAAAUAGAACAACAAGGAUCCAAGAAUAACCAGAACAACUUUAAAGAACAAGGCUACAUGGUCCAUCUGCAAGUUUUUUCAAAUUGUCACAAAUCUCCAAAAAAUGUUUCAAUAUAUUUAUUGAAAAAAGUCUAUAUAGAAG